rnacentral:tRNA from 1 species
GUUCGCGUCCGUUGCUGGUGAAGCCACCCUUCACACGGGUGGGGUCGCAAGUUCAAUCCUUGCCGCGCCCACCA